rnacentral:rRNA from 1 species
CCUACGGGUGGCAGCAGUGGGGAAUCUUUCACAAUGGGGGAAACCCUGAUGCAGCGACGCCGCGUGAAGGAAGAAGGAUUUCGGUAUGUAAACUUCUAUCAGCAGGGAAGAAAAUGACGGUACCUGACUAAGAAGCCCCGGCUAACUACGUGCCAGCAGCCGCGGUAAUACGUAGGGGGCGAGCGUUAUCCGGAUUUACUGGGUGUAAAGGGAGCGUAGGCGGUUUAGCAAGUCAGAAGUGAAAGCCCGGGGCUCAACCCCGGGACUGCUUUUGAAACUGUUGAACUAGAGUGCAGGAGAGGUAAGUGGAAUUCCUAGUGUAGCGGUGAAAUGCGUAGAUAUUAGGAGGAACACCAGUGGCGAAGGCGGCUUACUGGACUGUAAAUGACGCUGAGGCUCGAAAGCGUGGGGAGCAAACAGGAUUAGAUACCCCUGUAGUC